UCCUUCUUAGUUCAGUUGGUAGAGCGCGUCACUAGUAUUGUACAUUCUUGUAUGAAUUAGUAAUGACGAGGUCAGUCGUUCAAGUCGGCUAGAAGGAA